rnacentral:rRNA from 1 species
CAGCCGCCGCGGUAAUACGAAGGGGGCUAGCGUUGCUCGGAAUGACUGGGCGUAAAGGGCGCGUAGGCGGUUUGGACAGUCAGAUGUGAAAUUCCUGGGCUUAACCUGGGGGCUGCAUUUGAUACGUUCAGGCUUGAGUGUGGAAGAGGGUCGUGGAAUUCCCAGUGUAGAGGUGAAAUUCGUAGAUAUUGGGAAGAACACCGGUGGCGAAGGCGGCGACCUGGUCCAUUACUGACGCUGAGGCGCGAAAGCGUGGGGAGCAAACAGGAUUAGAUACCCCCGUAGUCCCUGUCUCUUAUAU